rnacentral:lncRNA from 1 species
CCUGGUUCUGCCCCGCCCCUCCAAGUUGGCGAUGGCUGGGCUUCGGCCCCGCCUUCCCCACGGCGUUCCGGAGUCCGCUUAAAGGAGCCGCGCACACUGGAGCCGGGAAAGCCUGGAGCUACCGGGAAGGGGCGGGGAGUUUUAGCUUUGCGUAGGGCGGGAUGGGAGGUGGGUAAGACCGGAAAAAAGAUGAGGAAGGGUCCAAAGAUUCAAGAAGAGAAUUUGGAGGGAACUCAAUCAUUCGACAAGCCCUAAUUGAGCACCUGUUAGGUUCCAGGCGCUGUUCUAACUAAGCGCAGAGGUUUAAAGUCAUAGACAGGCAAAGACCCUCUUGCAGCUUGCAUGCUGGUGGAGUGAGAGAGGGGAGACAGACAACAAACAAGUGACAAAAAUUGCAGGUAGUGAUAAGUGGUGUGGAGAAAAAUAAAGCAGAGGAUAGGGUGACUUUACACCUGGUGAGAUACUGCCUCUCAAAGAAGACCUUUGAGCGCAUACACACGGGAUGAAGGAAUAAGUCUUGCAAACACGCGGGCCUGGAGGAGGAAUAGCCUUUCCAAGCUGAGAGAAAAUCAGCCAUAAACCCAGAGGUGGGGAUACGCCUGCCAUGUUGCAGAAACAGUGAAAGGCCGGCAUGGCUGAGCAGCGUCAGCCAGCCCGAGAGCAGUACCAGCUAGGCUUGGCCAGAUCCAGUGAAGCCUGUGGGCCAUUAUAACAGGAACGGGAAACCAUGAGAGAAGGGUGAGCCGAGGAAUGACCGCAUCUGAUUCAUGUUGUUAAAAGUUAGUCUUGCUGAUGUGUGUAAAAUACACAAUGGAGAAGCACAGAUGUCCUUGGGAUACCAGUAAGGUAGCUUGGACUAACUAGCCUGGCAGCCACGGACAGGAUGAGAAGAAGGCUAUUUUAUUUUAUUUUAUUUUAUUUAGAUACAUUUUGAUUGGAAUGGAUUUGGAUUUGGGGCAUAGUGUGUGAAAGAACAAAAAGAAAUCAAGAGUUGAUUCUUAGGUUCGGGCCUGAUGACUGAGUUAAUGGCGGUGCCACUUAAUGAAAUGGAGGAGCAGAUUUGGGGAUGGGGAAAUCAAGAGUCUUUUCUUACACAUGUUAUGUUUAAGGUGUCUGUUAUACAUCCAAAUGGAGAUAUUGAAUAAACAAUCGAUAUAUGAGUCUAGAGAGAUACAUUUGGGAUUCAUUAGCAAAUAGAUACUUUUUAAGUCUUAAGUCUAGUUAGGAUCACAUGGGGAGGGGAGAUAGCUGAAGGAAAGGACCAAGAGGCACUCCAACACUUGAAGGUUAAGUAGAAAAGGAGGCGCUACCAGUCAGGGCAGGAGAAACACCAAGAGAAGGUGAAGCGUUGGAAAACAAGAUAAUUGUUUCAGGAAGGAGAGAGUGAAGAGUCUUAUCAGAUACUGCUGAAAUUAGUAAGAUAAGGACUGAGAAUUUGAACACUGGAUGUGGCCUGAUGAAGUUGCUGAUGACCUUGAUGAAAACAGUUUCAGUGGAGUCAUAGGGGAGAAAGUCUGAUUAGGGUAUGUUAAUAGGAUGGGAGGUGAGGAAGAGAAAGUGUUCUAAACAGCUCUUGAGAGGCUUUGCUUUGAAGGAGAAAAGGGCAGUAGCCAGAGAGGUACUUGAGAUCAAGGGAGGAUAUUUUAAGAUGAGAAAUGCUUUUUCUCAUUUUAGUAUGCUGGAAUGAUUUUUUUUUUUUUGAGGCGGAGUCUUGCUCUGUUGCUAGGCUGGAGUGCAGUGGUGUGAUCUCCGCUCACUGCAACCUCCAACUCCCUGGUUCGAGCGAUUCUCCUGUCUCAGCCUCCAAAGCAGCUGGGAUUACAGUCAUGUGCCACCACACCUGGCUAAUUUUGUGUUUUUAUUAGAGACGGGGUUUCUCCACGUUGGCCAGGCUGGUCUCGAAUUCCCAACCUCAGGUGAUCCACCCGCCUCGGCCUCCCAAAGUGUUGGGAUUACAGGUGUGAGCCACUGCGCCCAGCUGGAAUGAUUCUUUAGAGAGGUAAAAUUGGGCCAGGCGUGGUGGCUCACACCUGUAAUCCCAGCACUUUGGGAGGCCAAGGCGGGUGGAUCACGAGGUCAGGAGAUCGAGACCAUCCUGGCUAACACGGUGAAACCCCAUCUCUACUAAAAAUACAAAAAAAAUUAGCCAGGCGUGGUGGCAGGCGCCUGUAGUCCCAGCUACUCAGGAGGCUGAGGCAGGAGAAUGGCAUGAACCUGGAAGGCGGAACUUGCAGUGAGCCGAGAUCGCGCCACUGCACUCCAGCCUGGGCAACAGAGCGAGACUCUGUAAGAGAGGUAAAAUUGAUGACACAGAAGGCAAGAGGAGACAACUGGAGAAAGAGUGUCCUCAAAUAGGUGAGAAGCAAUUGGAUCUAGCACAGAAGUGAAAGGGUUGGCCUAGGAUAGGAGUAAGGGAAUGCAUUCACACACUGUUUCUGGAGAGAAGGUAGAGUGUCUGGGUGCAGAAGCAGAUAGAUUAGACAGUACAUUUGGUUGUGGCACGCUCAGGCCCCUGUAGAGCAGAGGCGGCAGGUAGGAGCUGAAAUGUAGCCCUUGUUUUGCCCACAAAGCCACGUGCCCUGGUGGGGUCACAUCAGCCUGGAGGAAGGGGUACUUUUCUGAUUGCUCCACCAGGAGAGGUGGUGCAUGUUAGCAUCCUGCAUAUAACACACACACAUGCGCAAACACACACACAUGCGCAUACACACACAUGCAUACCCACACACACACGUAUGGACCUUUUCCCAGUUUCCACUGAGUGCCAUAUGUACUGGCUGCCUCACUGGGAUUGAUGAGGUAAGAUCUGUUCUCUAUGCAAUGAAAAGCUGUUGGCUAUUAAAGGAGAUAGAAGAAGGUGAGAAAUAAUCUCCUUGAAGAGUGGAAAAGUGACUAGAGAAGCUUAGCAUGGACAGUGCUGAGGGCCCUCUUGAGUUGAUGAUCAUACAUUAAAGUGAGACCACUCAGCAAGGCCGUGUGAUUCUCCUCCAGCCACACUCCAUUGCUUGGGGGUUGGAGGAGAAUUGUAUUUGACCAGGUCUGAGUUUUGCUGGGGAAAGCCUAUGAGAGGGGUAGGAGUAUUAUGUAAGGGAGUGAUUAUAGUGAUAGACCUUGGAAUUUAAGCUGGGAGGGAAGACAGGGCAAGUAAAAAGUGGUAGAGUCAAUGGUUUGCUGUGGUCCCUGUGAGAAGUAGUUUGAGAGGAAGUAAUCAAACAAGUGAGGCCAAGGGGACUUUCCAAAAGUUGAGCAUGGGGAAGGGUGAGUAAGGCGGUUAGGGGACAGGAAGCACAAAGCAUCUGUGAGAAAAAGGUUCAAGCUGGCUCCAAGGAGCUAAGGAAACAGCAAAGCCCUUGGGCUUCUGUCCUCAUCACGGUAUAUGUGAACCAUUGGUUUGGAGAGGUUGAGGAACUGGAUUGCCCACUCAUAAUCUUCAGGGAGCUGCACAAACAGGAGAAACUGAGUGCAGGAGGAGAUAAACCAAUUAAAUCCUCCCAGGGCUCCUUUACAAGCUUUGGGAGAACCCAAUGGGCACUUUGCUUUCCCUGCCCUUUCCUUUCACCAGGGAUAUCUGAUGAUUUGGGUAGACACUUUAUCUGGCCUAGUAUUUGACAGAAACUAAACACCUUUCUUCCUAAAUCCAGCUCCUCCUCUUCCUGACUUCCUCUUUUCUGUUCAUGGCACUACCUUUCUCAGUCACUCAGCUGCCAAACCGAAGCCUCCUUUAAUCCAUCUUCCUCAUUCUAUGCCUAAUUAGUCCCUAAAGCAUAGUGAGCUGCACUGUUCAAUAAACAUUGCACUGUGAUGGAAAUGUUCUUUAUCUGCAUAGUCCAAAACAGGAGUUACAUAUGGCUAUUGAGCACUUUAAAUGCAGCUAAUGCAACUGAGGAAGUAAAUUUUUUUUUUUUUUUUUUUUUUGAGACAGAGUCUCACUCUGUCACCAGGCUGGAGUGCAGUGGCACGGUCUUGGCUCACUGCAACCUCCACCUCCCAGGUUCAAGCGAUUCUCCUGCUUCAGCCUCCCGAGUAGCUGGGACUACAGGC